rnacentral:tRNA from 1 species
GGUGGCUCAGUGGUAGAGCAUUUGCCUUGCAUGCAUGAGGCCCUGGGUUCAAUUCCUGAGCACCA